AGUGAACGCUGGCGGCAGGCCUAACACAUGCAAGUCGAACGGCAGCACAAGAGAGCUUGCUCUCUGGGUGGCGAGUGGCGGACGGGUGAGGAAUGCAUCGGAAUCUGCCCAUUUGUGGGGGAUAACCUCGGGAAACCGGGACUAAUACCGCAUACGACCUACGGGUGAAAGCAGGGGAUCUUCGGACCUUGCGCAGAUGGAUGAGCCGAUGCCGGAUUAGCUAGUUGGAGGGGUAAAGGCCCACCAAGGCGACGAUCCGCAGCUGGUCUGAGAGGAUGAUCAGCCACACUGGGACUGAGACACGGCCCAGACUCCUACGGGAGGCAGCAGUGGGGAAUAUUGGACAAUGGGCGCAAGCCUGAUCCAGCCAUGCCGCGUGUGUGAAGAAGGCCUUCGGGUUGUAAAGCACUUUUGUUGGGAAAGAAAAGCAGCCGGUUAAUACCCGGUUGUCAUGACGGUACCCAAAGAAUAAGCACCGGCUAACUUCGUG
rnacentral:rRNA from 1 species